GAUGAACGCUGGCGGCGUGCCUAAUACAUGCAAGUCGAGCGAACGGACGCGAAGGUUGCUUCUCUGCGGGUAACGGCGGACGGACGAGUAACACGUGGAUAACCUAACUAUACGCCUGGGAUAACUUCGGGAAACCGUAGCUAAUACCGGCUAAUAUUUUGAACAGCAUGGUUCAAAAGUGAAAGAGGGUCUUGCUGUCACUUAUAGAUGGAUCCGCGCUACAUUAUCGAGUUGGUAAGGUAACGACUUACCAAAGCAACGAUGCAUAGCCGCCCUGAGAGGGUGGUCGGCCAGACUGGCACUGCGACACGGCCCAGAGUCCUACGGGACGCAGCAGUGGGGAGUCUUCCGCAAUGGGCGAAAGCCAUACGGAGCAACGCGGCGUGGCUGCUGAGGGUCUUCGGUGCGGGAAACUCUGUUAUUAGGGAAGGACAUAUGUGUAAGUAACUGUGCACAUCUAGGCGGUACCUUAUCAAAAAGCCACGGCUAACUACGUG
rnacentral:rRNA from 1 species